AUACAGAGGGUGCAAGCGUUAAUCGGAUUUACUGGGCGUAAAGCGCGCGUAGGUGGCUAAUUAAGUCAAAUGUGAAAUCCCCGAGCUUAACUUGGGAAUUGCAUUCGAUACUGGUUAGCUAGAGUAUGGGAGAGGAUGGUAGAAUUCCAGGUGUAGCGGUGAAAUGCGUAGAGAUCUGGAGGAAUACCGAUGGCGAAGGCAGCCAUCUGGCCUAAUACUGACACUUAGGUGCGAAAGCAUGGGGAGAAAACAGGAUUAGAUACCCUGGUAGUCCAUGCCGUAAACGAUGUCUACUAGCCGUUGGGGCCCCUGAGGCUUUAGUGGCGCAGCUAACGCGAUAAGUAGACCGCCUGGGGAGUACGGUCGCAAGACUAAAACUCAAAUGAAUUGACGGGG
rnacentral:rRNA from 1 species